GUAGGUGGCAAGCGUUGUCCGGGAAUUAUUGGGGCGUAAAGCGCGCGCAGGCGGUUCUUUAAGUCUGAUGUGAAAGCCCACGGGCUCAACCGUGGAGGGUCAUUGGAAACUGGAGAACUUGAGUACAGAAGAGGAAAGCGGAAUUCCACGUGUAGCGGUGAAAUGCGUAGAGAUGUGGAGGAGCACCAGUGGCGAAGGCGGCUUUCUGGUCUGUAACUGACGCUGAGGCGCGAAAGCGUGGGGAGCAAACAGGAUUAGAUACCCUGGUAGUCCACGCCGUAAACGAUGAGUGCUAAGUGUUAGGGGGUUUCCGCCCCUUAGUGCUGCAGCUAACGCAUUAAGCACUCCGCCUGGGGAGUACGGCCGCAAGGCUG
rnacentral:rRNA from 1 species